rnacentral:pre_miRNA from 1 species
CGUGUGUGCAUUGUAAAACACUGCACGUCUGUAUUUGAAAGCUGCAGUACUUCUACAGUGCAACCCACG